rnacentral:sRNA from 1 species
UGUGAACUUUGAUCUCCCUGUAAAACAAGGAGAGGAGCCGGACUAUGAGACCUACCUCCACCGCAUAGGGCGGACGGGGCGCUUUGGGAAAAAAGGCCUUGCCUUCAACAUGAUUGAAGUGGAUGAGCUGCCCUCGCUCAUGAAAAUCCAGGACCACUUUAGAAAGUCCUAAAUUCUGAAGUCCGCGACCUUUCCUCCAGCCCCCCAUCUAAACAAGGCAGGCUCUGAUGAUGGCCUGCUGGAACUCUGGACUGGCAGAUUUCUCUGAUGGAAACUCAAAAGGUCCCAUGGUUCAAAUUGUCCUGUGCCCCAAAGCCCAUGGAUGUGGCUGGGGAGCAGGGGAGAAGGAACACCUUCCAGGACAGUGGUACUUAACCUUGUAGAAAGCAAUAAGCGCUGUCCCCAGGGAAGUGCACACAGGCACACACAUGCCAUUUGGAAUAUAAUUUUCACAGGUUGGCAGACUGAGUGUAGCACAUCCACCGACCUUUCAGGGAAGUAGGUUAAGUGCCCCUGUGUUAGGCUAACUGGGGAGGACAGGGUGAGGAAGAUGCGUUAAGGCCACUGUCGCUAUGGUGAGCUCCUAAGGCCCUGGUCUCAGGAAGUGACUGCAGUAGAAGAGCCUCAGUCCCUCCCAGGCUCUCCUCACUUCCACUCUGGCCUUCUCUGCCCCAGCAUAUCUAGAUACAUACAUUCCAUGGUCUGGUGCAUUUGAUGCUGUUUGAG